UUCAUUUCAGUGCAUACAUUCAGAUUCAAGCAUUCACACUGCAGUUUCUUCAGAAAAUGCACUUUCUAGUUAUUAUUAGUGUGAAUGCUUGUAAAAGCAUUCACAGUAUUGAAUGCUUGUAAAAGCAUUCACAGUAUUGUUGUUGUAAUCUUUAUUAGUGUGAAUGCUUGUAAAAGCAUUCACAGUAUUGUUGUUGUAAUCUUUAUUAUUAUUAUAUAUUCCGUACGUUUUUUGGCAUCUAUCUCCUUCAAAACCGUUCAACUUAGAAAAACCAUUCAAACACCGUUAGAUUCCUCUUCUUUUGGACAUGACUGCUUCUACUUUUCUCAUUUAUAACAUUUAUAUUUUUAAAAUUAUUCAACUUUUUUCAACAAAAAUUUCCCAUGUAUUUCAAUGGGGAGACCCUUCAAAUCCUCAUUCAACUUACUCAUUUUCAAACUGUAUCUACUUUAACAUACGUUGACAUAGAGCCACCAUUCAAACUUUAAAACGAAGACAAGACAUUCAACUAUUCAACUUGUAUUUAUCUUUUCAAUAUGUAUUAUCCUUUUUCUUCAGUUCCAGUUUAAGUUUCAUGAUGAUUUUUCAGCCGUUUCAGAGUUUAUAAUGGGUGUGUAUGGGACGGAAUGUUGGGGCUAGAGUGAGAAGGCUCAACUGCCAGAGUGAGAGGAGCGAAAAAAUUAAUCUGAAAAUCUUUUUUAAACUGCUGCUGUGUCCGCAGCGUUUGCUCUACAGGUAUGAUUUUACCCUCAAACGUAGCCAUCGCUGUCCUCUUUCAUCCAAUGUGUUUACUAUUGUACUAGGUGUUAUGGUUCUUUCAUAAAUGUCACCAAAGCACAGCCUCCUCCCUCCAACUCCUCCAUAGACUCUAAUGUUAAAAUGGCUCAGAAGGUUCGUUUGAAAAUCAGAAGAGCAUGGUGUUUUUACACUGUCACCACGUCCAUAUAAUAACUCCACAGGCAUGAAAACUGAGAAUUAGGUAGACUGGACAUUGCUGCCGCUCACGGUGAAAGAAUUUCGUCAAUAGGACCUGUACUUUUCAUUUGGGAGCAAUUUGUUUCGACCUGACUUUUCUGUUCAUUUUAAGCAGCAAAAGUGAGGUGCAUGUCUGUGUGCGUGUGUACUGAGCCAUUGGGUGCAGUUACUAUAGCAACCAGGCUCACACCUGCCUGCCUAACGAGCUCUGUCUCUCACUGUGCCAAGAUUCAUCUUAAACACUUCUCUUUCAACUGCUGCUGUGUCCACAGUGUUUGCUCUACAGCCAUCAUUUUACCCUCAAACGAAGCCAUCGUUCUUCUCUUUCCAACAGCAUGUCUUUCAAAGCUCAGAGAUGUAAACCUUUAAAAGUGUGUGGUUCCAAGUGGAGGGAUUCACUUUAGUCAUUCAGUGAUUCAAAGAAUAUGAACUUUUAAUAUUCAUUCAGAUGUUUUCUGACUCUAAAUUUUCUGUUCUCAUUUCUUAGGUUUUCCAAAUUUUAAUUUAAAAACUUUUCAGCUAUUUUCCAACUUCUUCUGUGUGAACAUCAGCUUUCAAAAGUUCUGCACUUUUGUUUUCAGGUUAAAAACUCUGUAUUUUCCAGCUCAUUCAACAUUUUAAUUUUUAACUUAAAAUUCAGCAAUUAAUUCAUUUCAGUGCAUACAUUCAGAUUCAAGCAUUCACACUGCAGUUUCUUCAGAAAAUGCACUUUCUAGUUAUUAUUAUUAUUAUAUCAUAUUCCGUACGUUUUUGUGCAUCUAUCUCCUUCAAACCGUUCAACUUAGAAAAACCAUUCAACACCGUUAGAUUCCUCUUCUUUUGGACAUGACUGCUUGUAUUUUCUCAUUUAUAACAUUUAUAUUUUUAAUUUUAUUCAACUUUUUUCAACAAAAAUUUCCCAUGUAUUUCAAUGGGGAGACCCUUCAAAUUCUCCUUCAACUUACUCCUCUUUAAACUGUAUCUACUUCCACAUACAUUGACAUAGAUCCACCAUUCAAACUUUAAAACGAAGACAAGACAUUCAACUAUUCAACUUGUAUUUAUCUUUUCAAUAUCUAUUAUACUUUUUCUUCAGUUCCAGUUUAAGUUUCAUGAUGUUUUUUCACCCGUUUCAGAGUUUAUAAUGGGUGUGUAUGGGACGGAAUGUUGGGGCUAGAGUGAGACAGCUCAACUGCCAGAGUGAGAGGAGCGAAAAAAUUAAUCUUAAAAUAUUUUUUAAAACUGCUGCUGUGUCCACGGUGUUUGGUCUACAGGUAUGAUUUUACCCUCAAAACGUAGCCAUCGCUGUCCUCUUUCAUCCAAUGUGUUUACUAUUGUACUAGGUGUUAUGGUUCUUUCAUAAAUGUCACCAAUGCACAGCCUCCUCCCUCCAACUCCUCCAUAGACUCUAAUGUUAAAUGGCUCAGAAGGUUCGUUUGAAAACCAGAAGUACAGGCUGUCUUUACACUGUCACCACGUCCAUAUAAUAAACUCCACAAGCAUGAAAACUGAGAAUUAGGUAGACUGGACAUUGCUGUCGCUCACGGUGAAAGAAUUUUGUCAAUACGACCUGUACUUUUCAUUUGGGAGCGAUUUGUUUCGACCUGACUUUUCUGUUCAUUUUAAGCAGCAAAAGUGAGGUGCAUGUCUGUGCGCAUGUGUAUGGAGCCAGUGGGUGCAGUCACUAUAGCAACCAGGCUCACACCUGCCUGCCUAAUGAGCUCUGUCUCUCACUCUGCCAAGAUUCAUCUUAAACACUUCUCUUUCAACUGCUGCUGUGUCCACAGUGUUUGCUCUACAGCCAUCAUUUUACCCUCAAAACGUCGCCAUCGUUGUUCUCUUUCCAACACCGUGUCUUUCAAAGUUCAGACAUUUAAAAUUUUUUAAUCUGUGUGGAUCCAAGUGGAGGGAUCACAUUUUAGUCAUUCAGUGAUUCAAAGAAUAUGAACUUUUAAUAUUCAUUCAGAUGUUUUCAGACUCUAAAUUUUCUUUUCUCAUUUCUAAGGGUGUUCUAAUUUACAUUUAAAACAUUUUCAGCUUUUUCCCAACUUGUUCUUCUGUGUAAACUUCAGCUUUUAGCACAUCAGCACUUUUGUUUUCAGAUUAAAUUCUGUUUCUUUUUAUUAUCUCAUUGAAACUUUUUAACUUAGAAUUCAGCAGUUAAUUCAUUUCAGUGCAUACAUUCAGAUUCAAGCAUUCACACUGCAGUUUCUUCAGAAAAUGCACUUUCUAGUUAUUAUUAUAUAUUCCGUACGUUUUUGUGCAUCUAACUCCUUCAAAACCGUUCAACUUAGAAAAACCAUUCAAACACCGUUAGAUUCCUCUUCUUUUGGACAUGACUGCUUCUACUUUUCUCAUUUAUAACAUUUAUAUUUUUAAAAUUAUUCAACUUUUUUCAACAAAAAUUUCCCAUGUAUUUCAAUGGGGAGACCCUUCAAAUUCUCCUUCAACUUAGUCCUCUUAAAACUGUAUCUACUUUCAUAUACAUUGACGUAGAGCCACCAUUCAAACUUUAAAACGAAGACAAGACAUUCAACUAUUCAACUUGUAUUUAUCUUUUCAAUAUCUAUUAUACUUUUUCUUCAGUUCCAGUUUAAGUUUCAUGAUGUUUUUUCAGCCGUUUCAGAGUUUAUAAUGGGUGUGUAUGGGACGGAAUGUUGGGGCUAGAGUGAGACAGCUCAACUGCUAGAGUGAGAGGAGCAAAAAAAUUCAUCUUAAAAUAUUUUUUAAAACUGCUGCUGUGUCCACGGUGUUUGGUCUACAGGUAUGAUUUUACCCUCAAACGUAGCCAUCGCUGUCCUCUUUCAUCCAAUGUGUUUACUAUUGUACUAGGUGUUAUGGUUCUUUCAUAAAUGUCACCAAUGCACAGCCUCCUCCCUCCAACUCCUCCAUAGACUCUAAUGUUAAAAUGGCUCAGAAGGUUCGUUUGAAAACCAGAAGUACAGGCUGUCUUUACACUGUCACCACGUCCAUAUAAUAAACUCCACAAGCAUGAAAACUGAGAAUUAGGUAGACUGGACAUGGCUGUCGCUCACGGUGAAAGAAUUUUGUCAAUAGGACCUGUACUUUUCAUUUGGGAGCGAUUUGUUUCGGCCUGACUUUUCUGUUCAUUUUAAGCAGCAAAAGUGAGGUGCAUGUCUGUGCGCGUGUGUAUGGAGCCAUUGGGUGCAGUCACUAUAGCAACCAGGCUCACACCUGCCUGCCUAACAAGCUCUCUCUCUCUCACUGUGCCAAGAUUCAUCUUAAACACUUCUCUUUCAACUGCUGCUGUGUCCACAGUGUUUGCUCUACAGCCAUCAUUUUACCCUCAAAACGAAGCCAUCGUUGUUCUCUUUCCAACAGCAUGUCUUUCAAAGCUCAGAGAUGUAAACCUUUAAAAGUGUGUGGAUCCAAGUGGAGGGAUUACACUUUAGUCAUUCAGUGAUUCAAAGAAUAUGAACUUUUAAUAUUCAUUCAGAUGUUUUCUGACUCUAAAUUUUCUGUUCUCAUUUCUUAGGUUUUCCAAAUUUUAAUUUAAAAACUUUUCAGCUAUUUUCCAACUUCUUUUGUGUGAACAUCAGCUUUCAAAAGUUCUGC
rnacentral:lncRNA from 1 species